AACGAACGCUGGCGGCAUGCCUAACACAUGCAAGUCGAACGAGACCUUCGGGUCUAGUUGCGCACGGGUGCGUAACGCGUGGGAACCUGCCCUUAGGUUCGGAAUAACUCCCCGAAAGGGGUGCUAAUACCGGAUAAUGUCUUCGGACCAAAGAUUUAUCGCCUUUGGAUGGGCCCGCGUUGGAUUAGCUCGUUGGUAGGGUAAAAGCCUACCAAGGCGACGAUCCAUAGCUGGUCUGAGAGGAUGAUCAGCCACACUGGGACUGAGACACGGCCCAGACUCCUACGGGAGGCAGCAGUGGGGAAUAUUGGACAAGGGGCGAAAGCCUGAUCCAGCAAUGCCGCGCGAGUGAUGAAGGCCUUAGGGUUGUAAAGCUCUUUUACCCGGGAUGAUAAUGACAGUACCGGGAGAAUAAGCUCCGGCUAACUCCGUG
rnacentral:rRNA from 1 species